CUUUGAAGAUUUGACUUCCAUUUGGAGUGGCAGUGGGCAUGUGCUGGCUGUUCUGUGGCUCUUCAGAGCCUUCAGAAGUGUUGGAGGGUUGCUACUGUGACCCAUUUGUGGAUGCAUCUUCAGCCCCGUUAUGUUUACUCUGUACUGCCGUAGGUGUUUCGCUUUGACUUCCUGUCUUCAUUUCCACUAUGGUAAAUAAUGACCUGGCAGCAAUGUGAGCCUUCACAGUGUCUUAACCAUCAAUCACUUCUGGCAAGGUAAAUUCUGCAUGCCUUAUAUACUAGUUACACUGAACAUUUAUUUUUGUAUUUGUCUAGAAUUAAAUUUUACCCCAACCCUUCUAGAAUGUUUCUCAGUUCGGCAUUUUGUACCUGGGAUUUCUUUCUGUCAUUUGAAAUGUGAAUACUUAUUUAUCAAAAAUCAUUGAAAAACAACUUUCUUAGUGUGUUCUGUUCCUUGCCAUCCCUAGUGUAUCAAUUUGUAUCUGAAGUUAGUUCUUAUGCUAUAUCUUUUUUGCUGGGCUUGAUAACUUUGAGACAAUGUUUACUAGAAUAAUAUGGAAUAUAAUGAAUUGAGGUUUUGUUUUUUAUGUAGAAAACGAAAAACAUAAAGAAUGGGUAAAAGAAAAGAAUUAAAAUUAUAUAUCAGUAUUUUUUAUUUGCUACAUUAAUAAUAUAUCAGCAGUUGCUCUCUGUAAAAGGGAACUGUGUAACAUAAUUGGUAUGUUAAAAUGUGUCAUGACAGUGACAUUUUUAACUGUCUAUAUGCACUCUCUAACAUUGUGUUAAGCAUCUCAAAUAGAUGAAGUAAAACUUACUCUGAACUUCCUCCAAAUUAAAAUUCUAUAAGGGAGUACAAUAACAUUUGUAAACACAGUAAUAAGCCAUUCAGUAAAUAUUUUGCUAAUCAGAAGUUAAUAAAAUCUAUGAUCAUAAAGAUUAGCUACAUAUAUUUUAUGAGGAACUUUAUUGUUGACCUUCAUUUUCAUUAUGAUGCAGACACAGAUAAGUAAAAAGGCACAGGCCACAUUAAAUUCUAUCCAGCAAAUGUUAAUUCCACCACCUGCUUUCUUUCAAAUUCAAGACAUGCACUUUUCCCCUAAUAGCAGAAAAGUACAAAUACUCAUUUUGGUUCCUCAGUGUACUC